rnacentral:rRNA from 1 species
AGGGCGGCGAAGCCGCGAGGUGGAGCGAAUCCCAAAAAAGCCGGUCUAAGUUCGGAUUGCAGGCUGCAACCCGCCUGCAUGAAGUCGGAAUCGCUAGUAAUCGCGAGUCAGCAUAUCGCGGUGAAUACGUUCCCGGGUCUUGUACACACCGCCCGUCACACCAUGGGAGUUGGCAACACCCGAAGCCGAUGAGCUAACCCGCAAGGGAGGCAGUUGUCUAAGGUGGGGUUGAUAACUGGGGUGAAGUCGUAACAAGGUACC